CCUACGGGUGGCUGCAGUGGGGAAUAUUGGACAAUGGGCGAAAGCCUGAUCCAGCCAUGCCGCGUGUGUGAAGAAGGCCUUCGGGUUGUAAAGCACUUUCAGUGGGGAAGAAAGCCUUGGGGCUAAUACCCUCGAGGAAGGACAUCACCCACAGAAGAAGCACCGGCUAACUCCGUGCCAGCAGCCGCGGUAAUACGGAGGGUGCGAGCGUUAAUCGGAAUUACUGGGCGUAAAGCGCGCGUAGGCGGUCUGAUAAGCCGGUUGUGAAAGCCCCGGGCUCAACCUGGGAACGGCAUCCGGAACUGUCAGGCUAGAGUGCAGGAGAGGAAGGUAGAAUUCCCGGUGUAGCGGUGAAAUGCGUAGAGAUCGGGAGGAAUACCAGCGGCGAAGGCGGCCUUCUGGACUGACACUGACGCUGAGGUGCGAAAGCGUGGGUAGCAAACAGGAUUAGAUACCCUUGUAGUC
rnacentral:rRNA from 1 species